rnacentral:tRNA from 1 species
UGGGGUUAUAGUUUAUAUUAAAACAUUUAAUUUGCAAUUAAAAAAUACUAAAUAAUAUGUUAUCCUCAUC